CCUUUCUCCAUGCACAUCUUUCUCCACAGCCAAGAUGACAGGCAUGCUCCGUCACCAUCCACUACUUAGGUUUAUGGCUUUUGAUAUACAAGAUUGUUAGUAUUGUCACUAUAAAUAUGACAGUUCUCAUCAAUUCAUGAUUCAGUUAAAA